rnacentral:rRNA from 1 species
UAGGGAAUCUUCCACAAUGGGCGAAAGCCUGAUGGAGCAACGCCGCGUGUGUGAUGAAGGCUUUAGGGUCGUAAAGCACUGUUGUAUGGGAAGAAAUGCUAGAAUAGGGAAUGGUUCUAGUUCGACGGUACCAUACCAGAAAGGGACGGCUAAAUACGUGCCAGCAGCCGCGGUAAUACGUAUGUCCCGAGCGUUAUCCGGAUUUAUUGGGCGUAAAGCGAGCGCAGACGGUUGAUUAAGUCUGAUGUGAAAGCCCGGAGCUCAACUCCGGAAUGGCAUUGGAAACUGGUUAACUUGAGUGUUGUAGAGGUAAGUGGAACUCCAUGUGUAGCGGUGGAAUGCGUAGAUAUAUGGAAGAACACCAGUGGCGAAGGCGGCUUACUGGACAACAACUGACGUUGAGGCUCGAAAGUGUGGGUAGCAAACAGGAUUAGAUACCCUGGUAGUCCACACCGUAAACGAUGAAUACUAGGUGUUAGGAGGUUUCCGCCUCUUAGUGCCGAAGCUAACGCAUUAAGUAUUCCGCCUGGGGAGUACGACCGCAAGGUUG